rnacentral:ribozyme from 1 species
UAAUUCGUGUUAUUCUGAUUUUUUUAUCUUUAUUUAUUUACCCAUUCUGGUCAGUGUUGGAAUUCUUCUUAUUCGUGUUAUUCUUAUAACCAGACGCAGGUCGAAGUAGCAGUAAAAAAAAAAAAAAGC